rnacentral:rRNA from 1 species
CGAAGACAACUAGGAUGUUGGCUCAGAAGCAGCCAUACAUUCAAAGAGUGCGUAAUAGCUCACUAGUCGAGAGGUCCUGCGCCGAAAAUGUCCGGGGCUAAAACACAACACCGAAGCUUAGGAAUUCUAAUGAAUUGGUAGAGGAGCAUUGAAGACGGAACGAAGCCAUACCGAAAGGAAUGGUGGACUGUCUUGAAGAGAGAAUGCCGGAAUGAGUAGCGAGAUUGAAGUGAGAAUCUUCAAGGCCGAAUAUCUAAGGUUUCCAGGGUAAAGCUGAUCUGCCCUGGGUAAGUCGGGGCCUAAGGCAAGGUCGAAAGACGUAGUCGAUGGAUAACAGGUUGAAAUUCCUGUACUGCAUCAAAUCAGAAAUGUGGGGACACAUGAGGGAAGCAUGAGCCGGAAAAGGAAAGUCCGGUACAAGCGCAGCAGAGGACAGAUAGGCAAAUCCGUCUGUCAACUCGAGGGCGCGAUGUGGAGCGAACCAAAGUAGCGAAGCAUGUGGAGCUUGUGUCGAGAAAAGCCGCUAUAGUGUUUGAUGUACCCGUACCGUAAACCGACACAGGUGGAUGAGGAGAGAAUCCUAAGGCCGGCGGGAGAAGCAUUGUUAAGGAACUCGGCAAAAUGACCCCGUAACUUCGGGAGAAGGGGUGCUCCAGAGAUGGGGCCGCAGAGAACUGGCCCAAGCAACUGUUUAGCAAAAACACAGGUCUAUGCAAAACCGAAAGGUGAGGUAUAUGGGCUGACGCCUGCCCGGUGCUGGAAGGUUAAGAGGAGAGGUUAGCGCAAGCGAAGCUUUGAAUUUAAGCCCCAGUAAACGGCGGCCGUAACUAUAACGGUCCUAAGGUAGCGAAAUUCCUUGUCGGGUAAGUUCCGACCCGCACGAAAGGCGUAAUGAUUUGGGCACUGUCUCGACAAUGCACCCGGUGAAAUUGAAAUACCAGUGAAGAUGCUGGUUACCUGCGCCAGGACGGAAAGACCCCAUGGAGCUUUACUCCAGUUUGAUACUGGGAUUCGGUACUGCACGUACAGGAUAGGUGGGAGACUUAGAACUAUGGACGCCAGUCUGUAGGGAGUCGCUGUUGGGAUACCACCCCUGUAGUACUGGGUUUCUAACCAUCUGCCGUGACCCGGCAGUGGGACAAUGUCAGGCGGGGAGUUUGACUGGGGCGGUCGCCUCCGAAAGGGUAUCGGAGGCGCUCAAAGGUUCCCUCAGAAUGGUCGGAAACCAUUCGAAGAGUGCAAAGGCAGAAGGGAGCUUGACUGCGACACCGACGGGUGGAGCAGGUACGAAAGUAGGACUUAGUGAUCCGGUGGUAUAAAGUGGGAUUGCCAUCGCUCAACGGAUAAAAGCUACCCUGGGGAUAACAGGCUUAUCACUCCCAAGAGUUCACAUCGACGGAGUGGUUUGGCACCUCGAUGUCGGCUCAUCGCAUCCUGGGGCUGUAGCAGGUCCCAAGGGUUGGGCUGUUCGCCCAUUAAAGCGGUACGCGAGCUGGGUUCAGAACGUCGUGAGACAGUUCGGUCCCUAUCCGGCGUGGGCGUAGGAUAUUUGAGAGGAGCUGUCCUUAGUACGAGAGGACCGGGAUGGACGGACCGCUGGUGUAUCUGUUGUUGACCAACAGCAUGGCAGAGUAGCCAAGUCCGGCAGGGAUAAACGCUGAAGGCAUCUAAGCGUGAAGCCCCCCUCAAGAUGAGAUAUCCCUCCUUCGGGAGUAAGACCCCUUGAAGACUACAAGGUAGAUAGGGCAGAGGUGGAAGUGUGGCAACACAUGGAGCUGACUGUUACUAAUAGGUCGAGGGCUUGAUUAA